rnacentral:tRNA from 1 species
GUGCCUAGUGGACAUAGCAUCUGCCCGGUAAGCGGAACACUGUGGGUUCGAUUCCCAUCCCUAGACA